UAGAGGUGGGCCUUCCGCGACGCCACAGGAGCGGGUGUUCGCCUACGUCACUGGGGCGCUACAGUACCUGGAGCUGGGCAGUCUUCUCAUCAGAGUGGGGACUAAUAACAGUGACCUCCCCGCCAGGUCCUGUGUGUUGCCGGCUGAAGAAGGGUAGCUGAAAAAUUCAGACCCAGCACAGUGUUUAUGUUGGUCAAAAAUAGAAAACUAUGUCUGGCGUGGCCGAGGCGGGAGGACCCUUCAGGCCAAGAGCAGCCUAGCAACAUGGCGCAACCCCAUCUCUGUAGUCCUACCUCAGA
rnacentral:lncRNA from 10 species